GACGAACGCUGGCGGCGUGCUUAACACAUGCAAGUCGAACGGAAAGGCCCUGCUUUUGUGGGGUGCUCGAGUGGCGAACGGGUGAGUAACACGUGAGUAACCUGCCCUUGACUUUGGGAUAACUUCAGGAAACUGGGGCUAAUACCGGAUAGGAGCUCCUGCUGCAUGGGGGGGGUUGGAAAGUUUCGGCGGUUGGGGAUGGACUCGCGGCUUAUCAGCUUGUUGGUGGGGUAGUGGCUUACCAAGGCUUUGACGGGUAGCCGGCCUGAGAGGGUGACCGGCCACAUUGGGACUGCGAUACGGCCCAGACUCCUACGUGAGGCAGCAGUCGGGAAUAUUGCACAAUGGGCGGAAGCCUGAUGCAGCAACGCCGCGUGCGGGAUGACGGCCUUCGGGUUGUAAACCGCUUUCGCCUGUGACGAAGCGUGAGUGACGGUAAUGGGUAAAGAAGCACCGGCUAACUACGUG
rnacentral:rRNA from 1 species